UACAUGAAGCUGGAAUCGCUAGUAAUCGCAGGUCAGCAUACUGCGGUGAAUACGUUCCCGGGUCUUGUACACACCGCCCGUCACACCAUGGGAGCCGGAAAUGCCCGAAGCCAGUGACCCAACCUUAGGGAGGGAGCUGUCGAAGGUGGAGCCGGUAACUGGGGUGAAGUCGUAACAAGGUACC
rnacentral:rRNA from 1 species